rnacentral:lncRNA from 1 species
CUGCCACAAGUGUCACUCAAAGCAGAGAGAGAGAGAGACAAAUGGAAAUAGUCUGGCUUGUUUUCACCCCUCGCCUGCCCCUUGAUCCCAGAACCUCAUGGAGGCCGCAGGCAAGGGAGUCUGGGAUGCGUGUCUGCAGUGAGCCUCCCUUAUAGUACAGAGCAGGUCAUCACUGUGGGCUCACAGGAAAGAUCUUACAAGGCUCUCACUGAGGCAGUCUCAUCAAAGAAAGACCAUGGACCCUCGUUCCUGGCCUGACGUCCCAUCGGAGCCAUUGCGGAAAACGUUCCAGGUAAGUGGAGGAUUUCUGGAGCCCAGCAGAAUUUGAAGCAGCCACAGAUGACCGGUUGACCACUGGCCCAGUCUAUGAUGCUUUCCUGUGCUCCAUGAGGGGGUAGAAAGCCACGCAUUGUGCCCUCUGGCCUUUGAUGCUGGAGUGGCAGAGGGGGUGGUGGACACGGCAGCAACAGCAGCAGGCUGGGGACAGUCCACCGUACUGCACAGUGCUGUUGCUGUAAUCACUUCAAGAACAGGUUUUCUAUUUGCAAAAGGAAUAGAGUACAAGAGUCACCUCCUGCCAGAAUAAUGGCCGCGUUGGCCGCACCUGCCACUCCUGCUGCUGAUGCUAUGGACGCCUUGGUAGCCUGGCGCCAGCCAGCUUUGUGGACCCCUGCUGGGCAGGAUGGGCAAGGAGGCCCCCCUCUAUUGCCCCCAGGCCUGUACACAAGGGCUCCGAGGAAGGAAAUUCCUGACUAUAGAAUUACAUUCUGACCUCCUGAAACUCACCCUGCUCCUGCUCGUGGCAUGAGUAGUACUAUUCUUUCUCUCCUGACCUGCAGCCUUGUGCUGGAUGGAAGGAAAAGGGAGCUUUUUCAUUUUAUACACCAAACCCUGACCAAGAUGGCAGGUUGCUACACUAACAAUGGCGGUCCUUUCUAUCGUGCAAGUAGUUAGGGCAUCUUCUGUGUCUGAUGCUACGUGUGCUCUGAACUUCAGGAAUUGUAAUGCAGCAGAGCAGCAACCCCCUGCUGAUGUAAGAGCAGCCUUGCAUGCAGGAACCCAGGCUGUGAA